CCCAAACCAUCCAUGUUACGGCAUGGGUGGGGUUGUAGGACUACGCCGUUGCAUGAAGACAUCAGAGAAGAACUUUCUGGAAAGAAAGACCAUAGAGCAUGACAGUUGCGUAUUCGAAUGUUGUCUAAGCAUAGUAGUAUCCUGAGUAGCGCGGAGCACGAGGAAUUCUGCGUGAAUCUGCCGGGACCAUCCGGUAAGGCUAAAUACUCCCGAGAGACCGAUAGCGAACCAGUACCGUGAGGGAAAGGUGAAAAGCACUUCGAACAGAAGAGUGAAAUAGUUCCUGAAACCGUGCGCCUACAAGCGGUCGGAGCUCGUUAAUGAGUGACGGCGUGCCUUUUGCAUAAUGAACCUACGAGUUGCCUUUGCCGGCAAGGUUAAGUGUGACGACACACGUAUCCGAAGCGAAAGCGAGUCUGAACAGGGCGUAUAGUCGGCAGUGGCAGACGCGAAACCAAGUGAUCUACCCUUGGCCAGGUUGAAGGCUGGGUAACACCAGCUGGAGGACCGCACCAAUAAGCGUUGAAAAGCUUCUGGAUGAGCUGAGGGUAGGGGUGAAAGGCUAAUCAAACUUGGAGAUAGCUCGUACUCCCCGAAAUGCAUUUAGGUGCAGCCUUGCGGGUUACUGAUGUGAGGUAGAGCGACUGAUAAGAUGCGAGGGCUUCACCGCCUAUCAAGUCUUGACAAACUCCGAAUGCGCAUCAGUUCUACCGCAGGAGUGAGGGCAUGGGUGCUAAGGUCCGUGCCCGAGAGGAGAAGAAUCCGGACCACCUGCUAAGGUCCCGAAAUGACAGCUAAGUUAAACUAACGAAGUCUGACUGCUAAGACAGCUAGGAUGUUGGCUUGGAAGCAGCCAUUCAUUUAAAGAGUGCGUAACAGCUCACUAGUCGAGGAGUCGGGCGUGGAUAAUAAUCGGGUAUUAAGUUGUCUACCGAAGCAGUGGGAUCAUUAAUAUGAUCGGUAGGGGAGCAUUCCAGUCAGCGUCGAAGGCGUACCGUGAGGUAUUCUGGAGCGUCUGGAAAAGCAAAUGUAGGUAUAAGUAACGAUAAAGGGGGCGGGAAACCCCCUCGCCGAAAGACUAAGGUUUCCUGAUCAACGCUAAUCGGAUCAGGGUCAGUCGGGUCCUAAGGCUCAGCCGAACGGCGAUGCCGAUGGCAGAAACGGUUAAUAUUCCGUUACUACCUUCAGGAGUGACGUGGAGACGCAGUAGUGACAGUGCCGCCAUCUGACGGAAUAGAUGGUUGAAGGGUGUAGGAGUCGAUCAUGGCAGGCAAAUCCACCAUGAGAUCCGAACCUGACAGUAUGCCGCGUCCUUCGGGACAAGGCAAUAGUGCGCGUAAGCAUGCUGCCGAGAAAAUCCGCUAAACUUAAUCCUGCAGGUACCCGUACCGCAAACGGACACACGUAGUCGGGAUGAAUAUUCUAAGGCGCUUGAGUGAUUCACGGUUAAGGAACUAGGCAAACUGACCCUGUAACUUCGGGAUAAAGGGUCCCUACCCUUUUAUGGGAGGGCGCAGAGAAUCGGUCCAGGCAACUGUUUAACAAAAACACAGGGCUGUGCCAAAUCGAAAGAUCCAGUAUACAGCCUGACACCUGCCCGGUGCUGGAAGGUUAAGAGGAGAUGUCAUCGAUAAGAGAAGCGUUGAAUUGAAGCCCCAGUAAACGGCGGCCGUAACUAUAACGGUCCUAAGGUAGCGAAAUUCCUUGUCGGGUAAGUUCCGACCUGCACGAAUGGUGUAAUGAUCUGGACGCUGUCUCAACCGUGAGCUCAGUGAAAUUGUAGUAUCGGUGAAGAUGCCGAUUACCCGCGAUGGGACGAAAAGACCCCGUGAACCUUUACUAUAGCUUAUCAUUGAAUCUGGGCACGUGAUGUGUAGGAUAGGUCGGAGGCUUUGAAGCAGGUACGCCAGUAUUUGUGGAGCCGCUGUUGAAAUACGACCCUUUAUUUGUUUGGAUUCUAACCCGUGGAACGGGGACAUUGAUUGGUGGGUAGUUUGACUGGGGUGGUCGCCUCCAAAAGCGUAACGGAGGCUUCUAAAGGUGCCCUCCGGCCGAUUGGUAACCGGCCUUAGAGUGUAAUGGCAUAAGGGCGCUUGACUGGGAGACUAACAAGUCGAUCAGGUAGGAAACUAGAGCAUAGUGAUCCGGUGUUUCCGUAUGGAAGGGACAUCGCUCAAAGGAUAAAAGGUACUCCGGGGAUAACAGGCUGAUCCCUCCCAAGAGCUCAUAUCGACGGAGUGGUUUGGCACCUCGAUGUCGGCUCGUCACAUCCUGGGGCUGGAGAAGGUCCCAAGGGUUGGGCUGUUCGCCCAUUAAAGUGGCACGCGAGCUGGGUUCAGAACGUCGUGAGACAGUUCGGUCUCUAUCUAUCGUGGGCGUAUGAAAUUUGCGUGGCUCUGACACUAGUACGAGAGGACCGUGUUGGA
rnacentral:rRNA from 1 species